UACGUAGGGGCCGAGCGUUGUCCGGAAUCACUGGGCGUAAAGGGCGCGUAGGUGGCGACGCAAGUCAACGGUGAAAGCUCGACGCUCAACGUCGAGUCGGCCGUCGAGACUGCGUGGCUCGAGCACUGUAGAGGCAGAUGGAAUUCCGGGUGUAGCGGUGGAAUGCGUAGAGAUCCGGAAGAACACCGGUGGCGAAGGCGGUCUGCUGGGCAGUAGCUGACACUGAGGCGCGACAGCGUGGGGAGCAAACAGG
rnacentral:rRNA from 1 species